AAGCGUUGUCCGGAUUUAUUGGGCGUAAAGAGCGUGUAGGCGGCCAGACAGGUCCGUUGAGAAAACUGGAGGCUCAACCUCCAGACGUCGAUGGAAACCGUCUGGCUAGAGUCCGGAAGAGGAGAGUGGAAUUCCUGGUGUAGCGGUGAAAUGCGCAGAUAUCAGGAAGAACACCCGUGGCGAAAGCGGCUCUCUGGGACGGUACUGACGCUGAGACGCGAAAGCGUGGGGAGCAAACAGG
rnacentral:rRNA from 1 species